CCUGGUUGAUCCUGCCAGUAGUCAUAUGCUUGUCUCAAAGAUUAAGCCAUGCAUGUCUAAGUGCAUGCCAAAUUAAGGUGAACCCGCGAAUGGCUCAUUAAAUCAGUUAUGGUUCCUUAGAUCGUACCCACAUUUACUUGGAUAACUGUGGUAAUUCUAGAGCUAAUACAUGCAAACCAGAGUUCCGACCAGAGAUGGAAGGAACGCUUUUAUUAGAUCAAAACCAAUCGGUGGCGGGCUUUGCUCGUCCACCGUUUACUUUGGUGACUCUGAAUAACUUUGUGCUGAUCGCACGGUCUCGUACCGGCGACGCAUCUUUCAAAUGUCUGCCUUAUCAACUGUCGAUGGUAGGUUCUGCGCCUACCAUGGUUGUAACGGGUAACGGGGAAUCAGGGUUCGAUUCCGGAGAGGGAGCCUGAGAAACGGCUACCACAUCCAAGGAAGGCAGCAGGCGCGCAAAUUACCCACUCCCGGCACGGGGAGGUAGUGACGAAAAAUAACGAUACGGGACUCAUCCGAGGCCCCGUAAUCGGAAUGAGUACACUUUAAAUCCUUUAACGAGGAUCAAUUGGAGGGCAAGUCUGGUGCCAGCAGCCGCGGUAAUUCCAGCUCCAAUAGCGUAUAUUAAAGUUGUUGCGGUUAAAAAGCUCGUAGUUGAAUCUGUGUCGCACGCUGUCGGUUCGCCGCUCGCGGUGUUUAACUGACAUGCUCGUGAGACGUCCUACCGGUGGGCUUAGCUCCUUCGGGGGCGGUCCAACUAAUAUCCCAUCGCGGUGCUCUUUAUUGAGUGUCGAGGUGGGCCGGUACGUUUACUUUGAACAAAUUAGAGUGCUUAAAGCAGGCUAUCAUUUGCCUGAAUAUUCUGUGCAUGGAAUAAUGGAAUAGGCCCUCGGUUCUAUUUUGUUGGUUUUAAGAAACCCGAGGUAAUGAUUAAUAGGGACAGAUGGGGGCAUUCGUAUUGCGACGUUAGAGGUGAAAUUC
rnacentral:rRNA from 1 species